AGAAACAAGUUAAUUUUUUCACUAGUUUAUUUCAGGUAUAAAGAGUAUCAUGGCCCCUGAGCAAGGAUGACACACAAAUCUGUGAUGCAUUCCACAUUUUU
rnacentral:snRNA from 2 species